rnacentral:lncRNA from 1 species
GUCUCACUGACUUCAAGAAUGAACCUGUGGACCCUCACGCCCCCACCCUGCAUCCUGUAAGGAUAAGAUGCUUGGAGCAGUAGCUACCACCUUGCAGCUGGAGGAGAACGCCAGGAGAAUUUUAGAGUGCCACCUCAUACUGAGAUUCUCCUUCCUCCAACUUCUUAUUAUAGGAGGGCCAUAUGGGAGGAACUGUGGGUCAUCUCAAGGACCUGAAGGGGACCUCCAGCUGAAAGCCAGUAAGAAGUUGGGGCCUCAGUCAUACAGCUGCAAGGAAAUGAAUUUUUCCAACAACCUGGAUGAGCUUGGAAACAGAUUCUACCCCAGUCAAGUACUCAGGUUUCUACAGCAAUGUUAUCUUGAAUGGUUUGUCAACAUGUUUCACUGAGAAAACUUAAAGCAACUCUGAUCCUAGAAAAGUCGUCUGCACAGAGCAGGGCAUGGCCUGCAUUCCAAAUUUUGUUAUUCUCAAAGGUCAGUUGUUCUCAGUGGCAGACAACAGAAGCCAAGACUUGCUAAGUAAAACAGAAGACAAAUUUGCUGGAAGGACAUGUGAAAAUGGGCACAAAUUAGGAAGCAAGGUCAUACUUGCAUCACUGCUGUUAGGCUGCUACCACUGACUCCUCUGCUCCUGCACUCCCAAAAGCACCAUCAAGAAAAACCCCACACACAGUUCCUUCAUCUUUGCCUUACUUGCUGAAGAUUAGAAGUCCCAGGGAAUCCAACCUUAUUUUAUCUUUGAAAAUAUCCUGAAGUGCCAAAUAAACCAACAGUCUGAAGCGGGGGAAGACUCUAGCCCCAGCAAUACCUGCGACUACUAAUGAAAAAGACUUGACGGACUGAAACUGCCCGAGAUUUCUCACAUAAUGUCAUCAUUACGUGGAUGUGCUUCAGUGCUCUGAAAUAAUGGCACUUUAAUCUCAAGUCCACCUGCCACCAUCUGAAAAGGGGGGAAAAAAGCCAAAGAUAUAAAAUACUGAAGAAAGGAUACUGGAUGGCAUGCAGAAUCUUUGGAAGAACAACCAGAUUGCCAGGCAACACAGCUAGAAAAGUGCCCCAAAUCUCACCACAGAACAGAUUUAAUGAAAAUCGCACUUCUGCACUGCUGGGCCAUUAUUACUAUGACCACCGAGAAUGCUGCCUCUAAAGAGUGGAUGGACCUGCUCUCACUGCCCUGCUGCUUCCUGUC